AGCUAUGAGUCUGCCCCUUGCCAUAUAAGGGCGCUGUUACCCAAUCAUCGCUCUCUUUCCCUUGGGAUAUGACAGCGAGCGGAGCUCUGUGCAAAGCUGGCAGACAAAUCUAGGCCUGAAGCCUGUUAACUUCAGCCGGAUACCAAACCGGAAUAUGAAUAUUUAUUAAAACAGACAUUUCCAGAAAGUGAACAGGUCCACUUUAAGGAUCUCUAAAAUACAACUGUUGAGGAUCCUCAUCCUUUGGAGUCAAGAUCAACUACAAAAGACAUGUCUCCCACUGGAGAACCUAUCUGAGCUGCUUUACACAUUACAUUGCAUAGGCAAUGCGUAAGGCAAAAUGUUACCAGUUGUCCUGCUAGGAAUGCACCCUCCUCCUCAGUGAACUGAAAGCAAGUGAGCACAGGAAUGAAGAGGAUACCAGAAGAAAGAAGAAGGAAGAAAAGGAAUCAAGCAUGGAUUUUAUAGCACUUGUAUUAGCAUUUUGGAUUCCUUUUAUUUCUAUGGAUAUCAUAUUGGCACAACGGAUCCAUAAAUUGUCGUUGUGUCAUAUAUUAUUGAUAUGCCAUUGUCAUUUUGCAUGGCGGAUUUCAUUCUUACUUAUAUAAAAAGUUUCUUUCUUUUA